AUUGACCGCUGGCGGCAGGCCUAACACAUGCAAGUCGAGCGAGCGGCGGACGGGGGAGUGAUGUCUGGGAAACUGCCUGAUGGAGGGGGAUAACUACUGGAAACGGUAGCUAAUACCGCAUACCAUCAGAUGUGCCACGAUGGGAUAAACUAGAAGUGGGGGUAACGGCUCACCUAGGCGACGAUCCCUCGCUGGUCUGAGAGGAUGACCAGCCACACUGGAACUGAGACACGGUCCAGACUCCUACGGUAGGCAGCAGGGGGGAAUAUUGCACAAUGGGCGCAAGCCUGAUGCAGCCAUGCCGCGUGUGUGAAGAAGGCCUUCGGGUUGUAAAGCACUUUCAGCGGGGAGGCGUUACCCGCAGAAGAAGCACCGGCUAACUCCGUGCCAGCAGCCGCGGUAAUUC
rnacentral:rRNA from 1 species